AUGGCUAUGUACCCGGCAGGGGGGACCACCGCCGAUCUGAUUUCUGCCAUUGAUCAAGCAGUGCAAGACGAGGUGGACGUGCUGGUGUUGUCCAUCGGCCCAGAAGCGCGCCCACCGACCAAGGUCACCUUUCCUCGGCAUGCUCGACGUGGCUCUCCUGUUCGCGAGGAGGGCCGGCGUGUUUGUGGCUCAGGCAGCCGGCAACGGCGGCCCGGCGCAGUCCUCGGUCACCUCCUACAGCCCAUGGGCGACGACGGUCGCUGCCGGCACCACCGGCCGGACCCACACGCCAUGGCUGGUCCUCGGCAACGGCCAACGCGUCCCGGGGAUCGGCCUCUCGGCACCCACUCCGGGCGGGGGCCUGCUCCCGCACAGGCUUAUCGUCGUCGGGGAGGAUGA
rnacentral:rRNA from 1 species